rnacentral:sRNA from 1 species
AGAUUGUGACGUAAACAACGUGAAGGGCGCGGCCCGCGAUUGCCCAGUUCGGCUCUCUCUUCAAAUUGCUGAAUUCAUUGGACGCCGACUUCAUCUGCUUCCAGGAAACCAAGCUGCGACGACAGGAAUUAACGGCCGAGUUGGCCGAGGGCUACGAGUCCUUCCCCUCCCGCACCGGCACCUCCGGAAGGGGUCGCACCGGGUACUCCGAUAAUUGUUUGGUGUGGCGACGUUUUGUCGCGCGAAGUGGGCGUUCUCGAGUGACGAAGUCGCUUUGCCGAAGGCAGCGGAGGAAUGCUUUACCGGCUUCUUGACUGAAAGGAGAAUGAUUGCGGUUGCGGGGCUUAGAGUUUUCAACGGGAGAUUGAGUUAAUGGAGAGGGCAGUGUUUUUCAAGGAUCAUGGAUGGGUUCUCUUCAAUUUGUAUGGGCCUCGAGCUUGA